AGAGUUUGAUCCUGGCUCAGGACGAACGCUGGCGGCGUUAACACAUGCAAGUCGAGCGGAAAGGCCCUUCGGGGUACUCGAGCGGCGAACGGGUGAGUAACACGUGAGUAACCUGCCCCUGACUCUGGGAUAAGCCUGGGAAACUGGGUCUAAUACCGGAUAUGACAUUGCCCUGCAUGGGGUGGUGUGGAAAGUUUUUUCGGUUGGGGAUGGGCUCGCGGCCUAUCAGCUUGUUGGUGGGGUAGUGGCCUACCAAGGCGACGACGGGUAGCCGGCCUGAGAGGGCGACCGGCCACACUGGGACUGAGACACGGCCCAGACUCCUACGGGAGGCAGCAGUGGGGAAUAUUGCGCAAUGGGCGGAAGCCUGACGCAGCGACGCCGCGUGGGGGAUGACGGCCUUCGGGUUGUAAACCUCUUUCAGCAGGGACGAAGUUGACGUGUACCUGUAGAAGAAGCGCCGGCUAACUACGUGCCAGCAGCCGCGGUAAUACGUAGGGCGCAAGCGUUGUCCGGAAUUAUUGGGCGUAAAGAGCUCGUAGGUGGCUUGUUGCGUCUGCCGUGAAAUCCCGUGGCUUAACUGCGGGUCUGCGGUGGAUACGGGCAGGCUAGAGGCUGGUAGGGGCAAGCGGAAUUCCUGGUGUAGCGGUGAAAUGCGCAGAUAUCAGGAGGAACACCGGUGGCGAAGGCGGCUUGCUGGGCCAGUUCUGACGCUGAGGAGCGAAAGCGUGGGGAGCGAACAGGAUUAGAUACCCUAGUAGUCC
rnacentral:rRNA from 1 species